GACGAACGCUGGCGGCGUGCUUAACACAUGCAAGUCGAACGGAAAGGCCCUGCUUUUGUGGGGUGCUCGAGUGGCGAACGGGUGAGUAACACGUGAGUAACCUGCCCUUGACUUUGGGAUAACUUCAGGAAACUGGGGCUAAUACCGGAUAGGAGCUCCUGCUGCAUGGUGGGGGUUGGAAAGUUUCGGCGGUUGGGGAUGGACUCGCGGCUUAUCAGCUUGUUGGUGGGGUAGUGGCUUACCAAGGCUUUGACGGGUAGCCGGCCUGAGAGGGUGACCGGCCACAUUGGGACUGAGAUACGGCCCAGACUCCUACGGGAGGCAGCAGUGGGGAAUAUUGCACAAUGGGCGGAAGCCUGAUGCAGCAACGCCGCGUGCGGGAUGACGGCCUUAGGGUUGUAAACCGCUUUCGCCUGUGACGAAGCGUGAGUGACGGUAAUGGGUAAAGAAGCACCGGCUAACUACGUG
rnacentral:rRNA from 1 species